rnacentral:misc_RNA from 1 species
AUGUCUUACUUUCUUUGAGGAGUGUAAGCAUGAAUUUUAUGUUUAUCUACCUGUAGAAGUGAUAUAGAUGUAUUUCUAUGAACUCUUUGUUUAUGUCAUGUAGAGGUCUGUGAAUAGUAUUUUAGUUUUCAUUUCUUUCAUCCUUGUAGUUGUCAUCUUGCUUGAUGACUUUCUGCCCCAAUUGUUAUAUUUUGUACUGGUACAUUUUUUUCUGCAAUAAUGCUAGUCUUGUU